ACAAUCAACACAAUUUCAAUUAAUAAAAUAAAUAAACUGUUCAUAGGCUAUGGAGAAAUGGAAUUAUCACCGUAAUUAAAGUAAUUUAGCUGUAAUUUAGGAAUACAUUAUUGUAAUUAGAUUAAUUUGAUCCUUUCCUUAUAGGUUGUCCAAAUUAACUAUAUAUGUAUCAUUGUAUUAUUGAUUUUAAAUAACAAAUAAAGAAGAUCUAGAAUAUUCUCCAUAUUAUUCACAUGGUAUCAGAGCCAAAACCCUAGACUUACUGUAGCCGCCGCCGUCGCCGCCGCCGGAAAAACUCUGCCGUGAAGUCCUGCCGUGAAGACGCUUCCGCGAACGCCAGAUCUCCCUUCAGUCAAUCUUCCUGCCGCAGCCUUCUUCCACGAACGCCAGACGCAAGACCUUCCCUCGGUCCUUGCCGUGAAGCCCUGCCGUGAAGCCCUGCCGUGAAGACACUUCCGCGAACGCCUUGCCGUGAAGCCCUGCCGUGAAGACACUUCCGCGAACGCCUUGCCGUGAAGCCCUGCCGUGAAGACACUUCCGCGAACACCUUGCCGUGAAGCCCUGCCGUGAAGACACUUCCGCGAACACCUUGCCGUGAAGCCCUGCCGUGAAGACGCUUCCGCGAACGCCAGAUCUCCCCUCGGUCAAUCUCCCUGCCGCAACCCUCUGCCGUGAAAACGCUUCCACGAACACCGCGCCGCGAACUCCAGCAACCUCCUACCAAUAUUCUGUGAACUGUAUACUCGCCGCCGUCGCAAGCACCCUCCUGCCUUGAAGACCUCUGCUGGCGACCUCCUGCCGUGAAGAAACAACCGCGCCGCGAACUCCAGCAACCUCCUGCCUCGAAUCCCAACUGCAAUUCCAGUGAAAUCCCAGCCACGAACUUUAGCCUCGAAUCCCAGCCGCAAAUACUCUGUGAAUCUCCAGCAGCUAAUUAUAUUUAGAUGGAGAAACAUGAAGUUGCUCGUCCCAUUAGCACCAUUCUCGAUGGAACUAAUUAUAUCACUUGGGCCCACCAAAUGAGGAGUUUUUUGAUAGGUCGAAAACUGUGGCGCAUCGUUACUGGAGAUAUCACUAAACCAGUCAAACCUACUCCUCCGAUGGACACCACUGAAAAUAUUGAUACAGACCCAUCUGAUGUCACUGUUCAAGAGACGACUGCAGAAACCGACAAAUAUGAUUCACACUCAAUUCUCCAGCAAAAUUAAAAUCUUUCGAACUGAUAAUGCGAUGGAAUAUAAGGACUCUCAACUUCUUUCCUUCCUUGCCCAGCAAGGCACUCUGAUUCAACGCUCCUGUCCUCACACCUCUCAGCAAAAUGGAAGAGCUGAACGCAAACAUCGUCACAUUCUUGACUCUGUU
rnacentral:lncRNA from 1 species